rnacentral:misc_RNA from 1 species
UCCGGUUUGGCACCGGCAGUCCUCCCAGAGUCCCCGCCAUGACGCGCUGGCAACUGGGAGCGGGGGUUGCGCUCGUUGCGGGACUUAACCCAACAUCUCACGUCACGAGCUGACGACAGCCAUGCAGCACCUGUGUGCAGGUCCCCGAAGGGAAGGAAUCCAUCUCUGGAAACCGUCCUGCCAUGUCAAGGGCUGGUAAGGUUCUGCGCGUUGCUUCGAAUUGAACCACAUGCUCCACCGCUUGUGCGGGCCCCCGUCAAUUCCUUUGAGUUUUAAUCUUGCGACCGUACUCCCCAGGCGGGAUGCUUACUGCGUUAGCGCCGGCACCCAGAGGGUCGCUCCCCCAGGCACCUAGUACCCAUCGUUUACGGCGUGGACUAC